UACGAAGGCGGCAAGCGUUACUCGGAAUUACUAGGCGUAAAGGGCAGGUAGGUGGUUUGAUAAGUCUGUUGUGAAAGCUCCCGGCUUAACUGGGAGAGGUCAACAGAAACUAUCAGGCUUGAGUAUGGGAGAGGGUACUGGAAUUCCUGGUGUAGCGGUGAAAUGCGCAGAGAUCAGGAGGAACACCAAUUGCGAAGGCAGCUCGCUGGGACGGUACUGACGCUGAGACGCGAAAGCGUGGGGAGCGAACAGG
rnacentral:rRNA from 1 species